AAAGCCUUAGUCACCAUGUUCUUGAUAUUCCUUUGACAUUUGUCAUCAAAACCUUGCAAAUAAUCUCACUACAUACAUCAAUGGACAAUCCACCAUUUCUAUAAAUAACUGUUCAAUUAGACUGAAAUUUCAAGCAAAAACAACCAUCAACAAACAAUAACCAUUUCAAUUUCAGUUUCAAAUUCGAUUUUGAUUUUCAUUUCUAAAUUACCUCUUACAUUGAAUUCAAACUAAAAACUACCACAACCACCACCGUGAUUGCCGCCACCACCACCCUUGACCGUUGCCACCACCACAACAACCCACCACCACCACUCCCUUUGCCGCCCUCUCUCUCCUCCUCACUCGACCCCCCUGCCUUCACGCCCAGCCAGCACCACCGUGCUGCUGCGCUGGCGACGCUCCACCCCCUUUCAUCCUUACUGCCGCCACGAAACCCAAACACGCCUCCCUUCCCUGCCGCCGGCAGCCGACCACCACCCAACUUCCUCCAUUUCCUCCUUCCUCUGUCAUGCGUGCUUCUUGCUUUCCCUCUUCUUCGUUCGACUUCCAGGAACCCAGGAAAUAAAUUGCUUCUUUUUUUCCAGUAAACCCACAACAAAAAGGGCUGGCCCAAUUCUAAAAUAGUUGGGUUUUCGGAAUUCAGACUCGAAGCUCAGAAGGAACGCACCAAGGAAAAGGCUUAACAAAUCGCGGAAUUGAGGUACUGUUGGGGACCACGGGAACGAAUAGUGGCAAGGAUUUCACUAUAGCAAUGUUCACCUAAGUUAAUAGUUUAAGUAACGACUUUUAGUAAGUUAUGUACUUUAUGAAAUUUAAAAGGAUUAUUAUGUUAAUUCGGAGAUUUAAUGGCUUUUGUUAUGAUGUUGACUUGUAAUUCCCAAGAUGGAGUUACGGCAGUAAUCGAAUUAGGAUGUUUCCGCUGCUAAGUAUGCUUAAUUCCAUGAAUUAGAGGUCGGGCGGUACACUUCUUGCUAUACAACUUCAAACACAUUAUGCCUACAAAGAUCUGGGGUUGGGAGACUAUGCUCUUGAGUCUUGGCACCUUGAGUAUUAUCCCCUGGCUCUUCCCGCAAUCAUUCAUCAAUCUUCCCCUUGCCCAAGCGGCGGGAGAAGGAACUUGCUAGUCUUCCAAGACGGGACACUACAAGAAAAAAGGGUUAUAACAACGCCAUUUUAUGCAACAGUUUUGUUGGCGUUGCUAUAUAAUAGCUAUUACAACAGAUAAAUAAUUAUUAAUUUAAGUAGACUUUGACUCAAGAAUAGUGUUGCUAUAGAAAAACUAUGGCAACAAUUAUAUAUUAUCAUUUUGUUAUUGCAACAGUUUUUACUUUUUUAAUAUUUUUAUGAAAUAUUGCAACAGUUUUUUUGUCAAGUAUCUAAAUUAAGUAAAAAAAAUAAACAAAAAUAUAAUAAAUAAAAAUACGAAGUAGGUUAUUGAAUUUUUUCCAUAGACCGCAAUUUUCUUUUUAGGUUUCCCUCCUUCCCAGUUUAUCGUCAAAGCCUUGUACACUUUCAUCUUCUUCGUUCUUCUUCUCUUUCACCCUCAUCGUCGUUCUCGAUCCCCUUCAUAAUCAUUUGUUAAAGCAUGGCGAAUUGGAGUUUGGCGUUUCUGAAUUUGGAAUUGGGUGACCAAAUUGGAGAAGGAGAAAUUGGUGAAUUACGUUUCUGAAUUGACAAGAAGAACAAGGAUUUUGGUAAUAUUGAAGCCCUAAUGUACUCUAGACUCUAGCCAUUUGUACGCCACCAUUUACACCAGCAGUAUUGCAAUAAUAGACUUGGUCCUCGGUCAAUUGAUAAUGGCAUUUAAACAGUUCCAUAGUCCUGACUGAAUCAAAGGAUGGUGCAUAUAGUCAAGAAGUACGAGCUACUUAAAAUAUGUGGAGAUUUAUAGGGCACAAAAUAUUAGACAGGUUUUAAGAAAUAAAGCUAUCGUAUUGUGAUUAUUGCAGGAUUUUUUAAUUUUAAUGGAGGUAGUUUUAGAACCAAUAUUUUUUUGAACUAUUCAGGCAAUUGUAAUAUUAUUAUUCUUAUAAAUUUACAAAUUUUAAACUUAUUUGUUAUGAAAAUCUUAUUAUAUGUAGUUCACAUUUAU